UACAGAGGGGGCAAGCGUUGUUCGGAAUUACUGGGCGUAAAGGGCGCGUAGGCGGCCCGCUAAGUCGAACGUGAAAUCCCCGAGCUCAACUCGGGAACUGCGUCCGAUACUGGUGGGCUUGAAUCCGGGAGAGGGAUGCGGAAUUCCAGGUGUAGCGGUGAAAUGACGUAGAUAUCUGGAGGAACACCGGUGGCGAAGGCAGGUCUCUGGGCAUUAACUGACGCUGAGGAGCGAAAGCAUGGGGAGCGAACAGGA
rnacentral:rRNA from 1 species